rnacentral:lncRNA from 1 species
GAUGGUGGUGAUGGUGAUGGUGGUGAUGGUGAUGAUGGUGAUGAUGAUGGUGAUGGUGGUGAUGGUGAUGAUGGUGAUGAUGAUGGUGGUGAUGGUGAGGAUGGUGAUGAUGGUGAUGGUGGUGAUGGUAGUGAUGGUGGUGAUGGUGAUGAUGGUGGUGAUGGUGAUGAUGGUGGUGGUGGUGAUGGUGAUGGUGGUGGUGGUGAUGGUGGUGGUGGUGAUGGUGGUGGUGGUGGUGUGAAGUGCACUUUGCAGUGUUACUCUGUCAGUUCAUAAGUACAUGUGGUGUCCAUUCUGAGACCCAGGGAGUGGUGAAUUCUGCACUUGUCACUUGCUGGCAUCCUAGGGUACCACCGGCUAGGUGACUAACAGGAAGGCUGUGGCACAUUCAGGGUGUUGGCAGUGCACACUCCCUCAGCAUCUCGUCUGGUCCCCAUGGGCCUAGCAACCCUGCUGGACUUGUUCAUUGAGCCAGAGCAGCUGAGUGAGUUGUCCAGGCUGCUCCAGUCUGGUGCUGUCUCCUGGGAAACUGGCUCUUUCCAGAGCAGAGUCAUUCUAUCAGCCCGGGAAGUCCCUGAAUUAAAGAUGUGGAAAUUUGGGAACUGUGGAGGUGGAAAUGAGCAAACCAAAGCAGAAAGAGGCAAACAAGGAAAACCUUGGCGGAAUGGGAGCUAAGCUAUCCUGUGUCGAGAGAGAGAGAGAGCGCGGGAGAGGGAGAGAGAGAGAGAGGGAGAGAGAGACAGAGAUUUGGGGAUGGACUGAGACACUGAGACAUGGACGUGGCACGAUGACAAUGGAGAUGGCGGCCCCUUUGUGCCCCCUAAGAGGAUCUGAAUGUGGAUAAGCGUGUUGGCCAUGGGGCCGGAAGUGUUGCCUUUAACCUGCUGUCUUUCUCCUUAUUAAUUAUAUAAUUUUGGACAAAUAGCAUCCACCCCUCUGUGCCGAGUUUUCUGGUGUGCACAGGAUGAGAACAACCGUGUCUGUGCGUUGAUUGUCCUAUGGUACCUUUGUGCAGGGGGAUUGUGGGUACUUCAUCCCCGCCCCAAGGCAGAUAACUUUGUGAAGAGAAAAGGUUUCCUUAGUUUACAGUUUGAGAAGUUCAAAACCCAGGUGUCAGCACCGUGGGUGUGGCAUCUGGAGAGAAUGGCAAGUGAUGGCACGUCACAACCGGAACUCGUGUAGUAGCAAGCAGGCCUUUCUGGAGAGAAAUGGCAUGUGUUAGACCAGGUUUGCUUUCUAAUAACAGCCUUCUUCUGAGGGGUCCCAGGAUAAUAACCACAGUCACAUGAGAACUCCACACACGGCCCUCCCCACCAACGACCUAAGAAGCUCCUAAAAUGUCUCACCUCUAGGAGACCCCACUGCCCCCAAACAAGGCCAUUCUGGAGAUAGCCCUUGAGGGAUUAGCGUAAGUGGCUGGAGCCUGCAUCUCUUCAGGAGUUUAAGGAGUUAAGAGUUGCAGUCUUGGCUCUGCCUUUUGCUUUUGGAUUCGCUUUGAGUUUUGGAAUACUUAUCUCCUCCAAACCUCAUCUGUUUCACCUGCAAAAUGCAAAAGUAUCAGUCUGUAGGGAGGGUGUGAGGGUCACGUGAUCAGUGUUUAACACCGACUCUUGGGACAGGACUUGAUUUGCAGCAUCUGCUCGCUCAUUCCCACGGUGCAAAUGCUCCCACUGCAGCUGACUUCAGGGUAGCAUUGCAGUGUCUCUGAAGGUGGAGUCAGAAGAAACGGGCAUCGUUAUCUUCCAUCCCCACAGCACGGAAUCAAGACAUUACCUGAGCCUAGAUAACAGUUAAGGGCAGUGAAGUAAUUAGGAACUGAAGGGCUCUUAUUGCAUUUGUUUUUUAAUGUAAUUUGUUUAAUUGUGAGCUUACAUAAUAUAGUUUUUAAUAACUGCUGUUCAUAACCGGCUUGCAAAGUUCUUGAAAAUUUAAUAAUCAGCUCUGGCAAGCUGGUCCAAGCUGGCUUCACAUACUGUUGAAUGUGCUAAAGCUCCAGCGAGGCCUAGAGAGGACACGGCAAGUACGCAGUGCUCCAUCAUCGGGAGCCUAUGCAGUUGUUGUUAUGUGUUUUAUUAUGCAAUCUCUGAUGACAGUAGGGGGAAAAAACAGGCCGUGGAAAAAAAAUCUGUAGUAGUUGCCUUUUCCACUCCUGCAUCAAAAGACUCAACAGAGCAAGUUUGGGCAGAGAGAUUUCUUUGGGCUGACAGUUUCAGAUGUUAGUGUUAGUGCCUGAUGGAGGUGUUGUUAGUACUCAAUGGUGUGUGGUCCUGAUGGAGAUGUUAGUACUCAGUGGUGUUGUGAUCCUGAUGGAGGUGUUAGUACUCAGUGGUGUUGUGAUCCUGAUGGAGGUGUUAGUACUCAGUGGUGUUGUGGUCCUGAUGGAGGUGUUAGUACUCAGUGGUGUUGUGGUCCUGAUGGAGGUGUUAGUACUCAGUGGUGUUGUGGUCCUGAUGGAGGUGUUAGUACUCAGUGGUGUGUGGUCCUGAUGGAGAUGUUAGUACUCAGUGGUGUUGUGGUCCUGAUGGAGGUGUUAGUACUCAGUGGUGUUGUGGUCCUGAUGGAGGUGUUAGUACUCAGUGGUGUGUGGUCCUGAUGGAGGUGUUAGUACUCAGUGGUGUGUGGUCCUGAUGGAGGUGUUAGUACUCAGUGGUGUGUGGUCCUGAUGGAGGUGUUAGUACUCAGUGGUGUGUGGUCCUGAUGGAGAUGGGCCGGUGGCAGAGGCUCCUCCUAUCUUGGGGAUAAGGAGCUAGCAUUGGGACUGGAAGCAGGGAUAGCUGCAGCCUUCAAUACCCAUCUCUAGUGAGGAGUCUACUUCUCAAGGCCAGGACACAUCAUCUCAAGGUCCUAACACCUCCCCACAAAUAUCACCCUGGCUGGGGACCAGGUCUUCAAAAUAAGAGCUUUUGAAGGACAUUUCCAACUCAAAGCAUAUCAACUUAAAGGCACCUCUUAUGAAGUUAAGAUCAUUCUGUUGAGUUAAGGAACAUGAGCUGGGGGUGAACAGUGACUGCAACAUGGUUUGUUUGUGAUAUUACUGCCCUGGGUACAAAUUCAGAACUCAGGCCCCAAAAUAAAAAUAAAAGGGGGUUAAAAAGCUUAUAAAACUGAUUUCGCUGGCAGUGAGAUAUAUAUGGAUCUCACUAGGCCAGGAGGUGGUGGCACACACCUUUAAUCCCAGCACUCAGGAAGCAGAGGCAGGUGGAUCUUUGAGUUUGAGGUCAGCUAUAUAGUGAGUUCUAGGACAGGCAGAGUUUACACAGAGAAACCCUGUCUAGAAAACAACAACAACAACCCCCCUAUCCUCCUACCCAGUAGCAAUGCAGAUCAAAGAAAUAGGGUAUCAGGGUAUAAUCAGGAAAUAGGAUCUUAUAUGGAGGACAGUGAUAAUCCAUUUGUUUUUGGUUGUGAGCCUAGCCUUUAACGGCCGAGCCAUCUCUCCAGCCCAGAUAAUCCGUUUGUUAAACCCAGUACACCUACACAGGGACAUCCAAUACGUUAUAAGGAUACCUGCAUGUGAUAUCUAUAUCUCUCAUGGCCCAGGAAGGAAAGGAUGAGCAUAAAAUUGCAUACCUGUAAAAUUAAUUAAAAAAGAAGACUAACUACAAAGCUGUGAGCAGGGCUAGGCAGAGCCCUUGAUGGUGGGAGGAAGUAGCCUAGACCUACAACAGUCAUGUGACCUACCUGGCUGGAAGAGAAGGGGCAACGGGAUUCAAAGGAAGCCAUCUAGAGAGGAUAAGGGAACCACAGCUGCCCUUCAGAGGGCUUAUGGCCCACCAAUGAGGGAUACAGGAGGUGGCAUUCUUGCUUCUCUUUCUACCACCCCCGAAUCUCCGGAUGAUGCUAAACCCAAUAAGAAGGCAGAGGGCCGUCUUGCUCUUUGAUGUACACACGCCCUACCGGUAAGCUCCCUGGGACCCAGAACUGGGUAAAGACAGACAGAGGGAUUGGAGGAUUAACAAGAACAUCCAAGGAAGUACUCCAUGGUAUAAAUCAGACAGGCUGUGAGGGCUGUGACUCCAGGAGAAGAAAGGGAUUGAGCUUUUGAGGUGUAAAGGAACAUACUGAAGCAUGGUCUUUGUAUUAAUGUCUGAUAAUUGUGACUUGAAGGUAGGCAUGAUUUGAGUGUAAUGAACUCAACUGGGAAAGCAUCAACCAUGCUGAAGAAACUUCUGGAAAAUGACCUUGCACCCCUGUGCCAUUUGUGUUACACCCCAGGCCUUCACAGAUGAACUCAGCUGGAGAGAGAACUGACUCUUGGUUGGAGGCUUGGCUGCCCAUGGCCUGGGAUGAGAAACACAAAGCGGAAAUGUGGAGGAAGGGGAGACACCAGCCUGGGUCUCCAUCGUGUUCCUGAAAGUCCGUCUUCUUCAAAGAAGAAAAAAGGAAAACAUGUAUGCAAGAAUUUUCAAUGUUCAUGAUUCAGAACCAUCAGGAAAAAACCCAAGUGGGUAUCUUCAGCGUUAUUGAAGAUCAGUGUUGUGAGCUGACUUAUGGAUCCUCAAAAGAGAUCGUUGAACAUAGUAGACGCUCAGUAAAUUGUUGAAAUAAAACUUGCUAAACAAAAGCCCAGAUCCCACUGCCAGAGCUGCACACACCCGCUCUAGGCUUCACUUAAACUCGUAUUUUUCUGAUUUGUGAAGGAGGGUAGCUGCAAAGUGGGCAGAUCGAAACCACACUCAGACCGUCCGUCAUUGUGAAGACAGAAUGAGAUUCCAAAUGGGGAAAAUAAGUCUAUCGCCAUCUAAACAUGAGUUAGGGCUCUUGUGAGCAGAUGACAGAGAGGCCACCAGACUCUAGCUCUCCGAGACACCUGGCACAUUGUCCUUUACCAUUUCACUUGCAAAAUCAAUUCAAAUUGGCUUCAGUACAGGCAGUCCCUCAUGAGCUGACAGUCAGCCAAAAGGCGCUGAACAAAGAGCUGUAGUGAUUGUUAGCAGCUCAAACAACAAAGGCCAUGUUUACGGGAGAUGCUGGUUACAGGAGCAACCUAGGAGGAGGUCUCUGAUGAGCCAGUUUUAAGGCCUAGCAAGAAUUCUAGCAAUGUUUUCCAGGGAAACAUUUACAAAUUGGAGGUUUAAAGGGCUGAGGAACUUCAGUUGUU